CUCCGUCCAAGCACCACAGUGAUGUGCCAAAAUUAUGAUGAUGACUUCACACCUCAGCGAAUUCACAUCUGCAAGGAGAGAGAACAAUUUGCAACUGAAUCCAGCCUCACUCAUGCGAUCCCCAAAUUUCUCCUUGGUUAUCAGCCACUCUGGAGACUGCUGGAGAGGUCCAGAUCCUUCUGAAGUAUGAAGGGAGGAUCCCAGGAGAAAGAGCUGAACGAGACAUAUGUGGCAAUUAGACAAUCGAUACACUUGAAUCCAAGAAGUUGACUGCUGAGUUGGAGUAGCUGCUGUGCUCUGAUCAAACCCACGGCCGGAAUCCUAGGUGUAGUAAAAUAGAAGAGGCAUAUGCAGGGGAUGAUGGUACAAGGCCCAGCUUUCAAAUCUGGAUUCCAGUGGCCGCUGGCCUGAAGAACGGGAGCCGAAAGAACAGACGCUACUGAAGGAUGCUGCUGCCAAGUAAGUC